rnacentral:rRNA from 1 species
UACGGAGGAUUCAAGCGUUAUCCGGAUUUAUUGGGUGUAAAGGGAGCGCAGGCGGCGUGGCAAGUCAGAUGUGAAAACCCGGGGCCCAACCCCGGGAGUGCAUUUGAAACUGCCAUGCUGGAGUGCCGGAGAGGUAAGCGGAAUUCCUAGUGUAGCGGUGAAAUGCGUAGAUAUUAGGAGGAACACCAGUGGCGAAGGCGGCUUACUGGACUGUAAAUGACGCUGAGGCUCGAAAGCGUGGGGAGCAAACAGG